rnacentral:rRNA from 1 species
AUGCACAUGCGCCACUUGUUGUUCUUCUUCAGCACAAGGACUGGAUUGGCGAGCCAUUCAGGAAAGAACACUUGCAUAAUGAAGCCGGCUACUACGAGCCAGGCUAUCUCUUCAGCAACAAUUCUUCUCUUCUCCUCCGGCAGUCGGCGGAGAGGUUGUUUGACUAGUUUUGCAUCUGCUCUGACAUGUAGCUUGUGCUCGAUGAAAUGUGUCGGAACACCCGGCAUGUCCUUGCGGGACCAUGCAAAGAUAUCCGGAUUCUCACGAAGGAAAUCGACGAGCUCGCUUUCCUAUUUUCUGUCAAGGUUGGUUCCUACAAGAGCGACCUCUCCGGGUGGUCCGGGUCAAAGGGUAUCUUCUAGGUUUCCUUGGCCGGCUAGAAGGAGCCCUGGGCUUCCGACUCGUCGGGAUCUGGCGACAGGUCCGGCUGCUUGCCGGCCAUGGCCACAACCCGGUCAAGGAGCUUCUUUUCAGCGGAAAUCACUACGGGAAACAGCUAGUUUGCCGUCAGGCAUGUACAGACGGCAAAGAAGCAAAUACAGACGGCAAAGAGUUUGCCGUCAGCCGGCUGACGGCAAAGAUAAGUCGGCAAAGAGUACUUCGCCGUCAGCUUUUCAUCGGACAGACGGCAAAGAUUUUGCCGUCAACCAAACUACUUUUCUUUGCCGUCAGCCAAUUUGUUAA